GAUGAACGCUGGCGGCGUGCCUAAUACAUGCAAGUCGAGCGAACGGACGAGAAGCUUGCUUCUCUGAUGUUAGCGGCGGACGGGUGAGUAACACGUGGAUAACCUACCUAUAAGACUGGGAUAACUUCGGGAAACCGGAGCUAAUACCGGAUGAUAUUUUGAACCGCAUGGUUCAAAAGUGAAAGACGGUCUUGCUGUCACUUAUAGAUGGAUCCGCGCUGCAUUAGCUAGUUGGUAAGGUAACGGCUUACCAAGGCAACGAUGCAUAGCCGACCUGAGAGGGUGAUCGGCCACCCUGGAACUGAGACACGGUCCAGACUCCUACGGGAGGCAGCAGUAGGGAAUCUUCCGCAAUGGGCGAAAGCCUGACGGAGCAACGCCGCGUGAGUGAUGAAGGUCUUCGGAUCGUAAAACUCUGUUAUUAGGGAAGAACAUAUGUGUAAGUAACUGUGCACAUCUUGACGGUACCUAAUCAGAAAGCCACGGCUAACUACG
rnacentral:rRNA from 1 species